AGACUGGAAUGAAUGGAAUAAUGGGGCAUUACUUUCUUAAGUUAAAUGUUAAAAAUAAUUUUUUAAGUGAAGAAACUUAAAUAAUAAUAAAAGACGAGAAGACCCUAUUAAGCUUAAAAUAAAAUUAUUUUGUUGGGGAAACAAAAGAAAAAUUUUUCUUUAAAUCUUUUUUUUGAUAAAAAGUGAUUUAUUACUAAUAAUAAUAGAAAAAGUUACUAUAGGGAUAACAGCAUAAUUUUUUUUAAAAGUUCAUAUUAACAAAAAAGAUUAUGACCUCGAUGUUGGAUUAAAAUAAUUGUAUGGUGAAGUUAUUGUAUGAAUUAGUCUGUUCGACUAUUAAAGUUUUA
rnacentral:rRNA from 1 species